rnacentral:rRNA from 1 species
CCUACGGGAGGCUGCAGUGAGGAAUAUUGGUCAAUGGACGAGAGUCUGAACCAGCCAAGUAGCGUGAAGGAUGACUGCCCUAUGGGUUGUAAACUUCUUUUAUAAAGGAAUAAAACGAGGCACGUGUGCCUUUUUGCAUGUACUUUAUGAAUAAGGAUCGGCUAACUCCGUGCCAGCAGCCGCGGUAAUACGGAGGAUCCGAGCGUUAUCCGGAUGUAUUGGGUUUAAAGGGAGCUUAGAUGGGUUGUUCAGUCAGUUGUGAAAGUUUGCGGCUCAACCGUAAAAUUGCAAUUGAUACUGGCAGUCUUGAGUACAGUUGAGGUAGGCGGAAUUCGUGGUGUAGCGGUGAAAUGCUUAGAUAUCACGAAGAACCCCGAUUGCGAAGGCAGCUUACUAAACUGUGACUGACAUUGAUGCUCGAAAGUGUGGGUAUCAAACAGGAUUAGAUACCCUUGUAGUCC